rfam:Tomato aspermy virus (V-TAV) RNA1.
GGUGCCUUUGAACCCUUUAUCCCGGGGUUCUUCGGAAGGUGAGACUUGUCCAUGUAGAGUCUCGCCGUGCACGGUAUCACACUGAUGAUACCUUCAGAGUGCAGGCAUCGCCUACGGUUUUCCGUAGGUUCCCCCUAGGGG